CGGUAAGUUUGUUAGUCUUUGCCACUGUCUAAUUAAAAAAAGACACAGUCUUGUACAGAAAAAAAAGCACACAAUCUUCCUUGAGGACAACAGUUACUGUGGCUUUCAGUCUCAACUAUUUAUUUGGAUGACUUUGAAAACUAUACUUCGGCGUGAGCCACCUUGCCCAGCCCACAUCAUACAGUUUGAAAUGAAACUUUGCCACAACCAGCCUU
rnacentral:lncRNA from 1 species